UACGGGGGGAGCAAGCGUUGUUCGGAUUUACUGGGCGUAAAGGGCGCGUAGGCGGUCAGCACAAGUCAGUUGUGAAAUCUCCGGGCUUAACUCGGAAAGGUCAACUGAUACUGUGCGACUAGAGUGCAGAAGGGGCAACUGGAAUUCUCGGUGUAGCGGUGAAAUGCGUAGAUGUCGAGAGGAACACCUGCGGCGAAGGCGGGUUGCUGGGCUGACACUGACGCUGAUGCGCGAAAGCCAGGGGAGCGAACGGG
rnacentral:rRNA from 1 species